CCUACGGGGGGCAGCAGUGGGGAAUAUUGGACAAUGGGCGAAAGCCUGAUCCAGCCAUGCCGCGUGUGUGAAGAAGGCCUUCGGGUUGUAAAGCACUUUCAGUGGGGAAGAAAGCCUUGGGGCUAAUACCCUCGAGGAAGGACAUCACCCACAGAAGAAGCACCGGCUAACUCCGUGCCAGCAGCCGCGGUAAUACGGAGGGUGCGAGCGUUAAUCGGAAUUACUGGGCGUAAAGCGCGCGUAGGCGGUCUGAUAAGCCGGUUGUGAAAGCCCCGGGCUCAACCUGGGAACGGCAUCCGGAACUGUCAGGCUAGAGUGCAGGAGAGGAAGGUAGAAUUCCCGGUGUAGCGGUGAAAUGCGUAGAGAUCGGGAGGAAUACCAGUGGCGAAGGCGGCCUACUGGACUGACACUGACGCUGAGGUGCGAAAGCGUGGGUAGCAAACAGGAUUAGAUACCCCAGUAGUC
rnacentral:rRNA from 1 species